rnacentral:rRNA from 1 species
UACGAAGGGGGCUAGCGUUGUUCGGAAUUACUGGGCGUAAAGCGCGCGUAGGCGGACAUUUAAGUCAGGGGUGAAAUGCCGGGGCUCAACCUCGGAACUGCCUUUGAUACUGGAUGUCUGGAGUUCGGGAGAGGUGAGUGGAAUUCCGAGUGUAGAGGUGAAAUUCGUAGAUAUUCGCAAGAACACCAGUGGCGAAGGCGGCUCACUGGCCCGAUACUGACGCUGAGGCACGAAAGCGUGGGGAGCAAACAGG